GACGGAAGGUGCAAGCGUUGCUCGGAAUCACUGGGCGUAAAGGGUGCGUAGGCGGCCGUGCAAGUCUGGCGUGAAAGCCCCGGGCUCAGCCCGGGAAGUGCGCUCGAAACUGCGCGGCUCGAGUGCCGGAGGGGAGAGUGGAAUUCCUGGUGUAGCGGUGAAAUGCGUAGAUAUCGGGAGGAACACCAGUGGCGAAGGCGACUACCUGGCCUGUUCUUGACGCUGAGGCGCGAAAGCUAGGGGAGCAAACGGG
rnacentral:rRNA from 1 species